rnacentral:rRNA from 1 species
UACGGGGGGAGCAAGCGUUGUUCGGACUUACUGGGCGUAAAGGGCGCGUAGGCGGCCACCGCAAGUCGACUGUGAAAUCUCCGGGCUUAACCCGGAAAGGUCAGCCGAUACUGCGGGGCUAGAGUGCAGAAGGGGCAACUGGAAUUCUCGGUGUAGCGGUGAAAUGCGUAGAUAUCGAGAGGAACACCUGCGGCGAAGGCGGGUUGCUGGGCUGACACUGACGCUGAGGCGCGAAAGCUAGGGGAGCGAACGGG